GUCGUCAGUGCUAGGAACCUGCGCCCGGCUGAGCUGAGCGAGGCGAGAGGAGAAAGCGAGGCCCGGGGACGGGACUGAGAGCUCUGAAAGGAGGGAGGCGGCUCCCGAGUACUCCGCGCGGGGCAGGCCCCGGCCUCGCCUCUUCGCCCAUUUUUAAGGCUCGAGUUAGAGGCCACCUCCUCCGAGAAGCCUUCGGUGACACCACCUCUCCCAGACGGUUCCCCUUUCUGAUUCCCACAGCAUUUUCCAACCAUUCACGCCGUCUUCCUUCCUCAUUGUGGUUUGGACCUUCUCGAGAAAGAAUCUGGCCUCAGUCUCCCUCUUCCACACUCAGGGACCGCCACCAUCACAGGCACUCGGUAGAUGUCUGCUGAAUGAGGAUAACUUCUACCCAACACCGUGAAGCCUGGCCCAGGGUCUGGCAUACAGAUGCCGUGUUUGUAAGUCCUGGUUGCUCAUCUCGCCCACUUGCACAGCCCACCUGUGUGGCCGACUCAGGAUUGACCCACCUGCUCUCUUCAGGCCAUAUUCCCACGCAGAAGUGGGUCCCACUCCUCAGGCCUCUGUGCUGGCCCCGUCUGUGGGGUUAGCAAGCAGCCCUGCUCUCCAUUUCCAGCUCAGAAGCAACUGGAUCGUUACCUCAUUGGUGACAACUUGACUGUGCUGCCCAGAGCUGAUAAGAAACAUCACCCGGGGAAGACCAGCUGCCUCUUCCUUGCUUCCUAAUCAGGGUGGAAAUACUGCUAAAUAUAUCACAACUCUUUGCAAGCAU
rnacentral:lncRNA from 1 species